ACACCACACAGAUAUUAACUUAUAGCUGCCAAUCGAGCUGUUUGGCGGUGAAUACCAUGUGACAGUGAAGAUGUUUGAAAAGAACCCUCUAUGAGGUCACCAAGAAAAACUCCAACUUCACCUGCUGCAGUUACCAACCCCAGUUUAUCAGCAUCACUCUAUUUUGUGCACCUGACAGCCUGUUUUGAAGAACAGUGACCUGUAGUAACUCAGUUAAAAAGAAAAAAAGAUGCAGACAAGUUGAGCAAUACAUCUUUGUUUGAACUGAACUAUGGCUGAAUUUAUGGUUUGGGACUGAGAUCCCGAUGCGCUCCUCCAACGUGACACGUGGAAUUUAACAAACAGGGCAAACAAGAAAAGAAAUACCACGCAACCUGGAGAAGUGGGAAGCAGAGCUCCAGCAUCACCACUGAUUCUGAUAACCAGCUGUUUCUGGAACAUAGCUUUUUCAAAUAUUUCAGAUUUCCUCAAACAGUAAGCUUGGGAAAGCAUGGGGUGAGUUUAGAGAAGUGAGGAAUUUCUCUGCCACACCCAGAAGGAUCAGGAUCUGGAGUCACUACAGGAAGCAAUUCAGACAGUGGAAGGUUCCCCACUUGAGAGCUCAAGGUCUCAGAGCAAAUGAGAAAUGUAUUUGCCUUUAUUAGUACUGCAAUUCUAUCAAUAACAGCUAUUCUCCUAAUACCUUGCACCUGAUCUAAGGUGUCAACUACUGAAUUUGAGGCAGAUUCAGCCCAUGUGAUGUACUUAUGUAGCCCAAGUGACAUUUAAAUUUGCUAGCAUCUCUCCUUUCAAUAUUUUAAAAGUAGUUCUUUAGCCCUUGGGCUCUCAAAAACCAACUUUCUGACCAUUACCUGACUUUUACCAAUGCAGGAAUGGCUGCCACAGCCUGCAGAAUACUGAAUCAAUGGCCCAUUAAGGGUGCUUAUGGUGUCUAGGGCCUCAGACCUGAACCAAAGGGACUCUAGGGUGUGAGGAGUCACACAUACUGCAAGAGAUACUGAUCAUGGGUGUAUCAGCUACAGCUGGACACCAUCAAGUAAAAACAUGGGCUCUCAGUCCCAUUUAACAUUCAAUGGGCAUACAAUUUAUAUGAGGCUUUAACCUGACUAGGUUAGCUUAUAUGAUAGACUACGUGCUUUAUCUACUCUAGUCUUCUGGAAUGUGCUAGGAAGCACAUUAGCUAACAUACUAUCAUUGCAAUUUUAAAUCCUAGUUUAGGGAAAACCUUAAAGAAAACAUGACUUUGUGGUUAAAGCACUGAUGUGGAUUUUAGGAAAUAUGCUGUUUUGUCCUGAUUUAAUUCCCACUCCACCAACUGGAAGAUUUAAAUGAGCAAAAUCCCUCAAGUGUAUGACCAUGUGGUAUUCAAAGGCAGAAUAGAUUUUUUAAACUUUAGUUAGAAAGCUGAUGGCUAAUAUUUAAAUUUCUGCAUACUAAAUGUUCAGAUCUUCAUUUGUAGAGCUGCGCUAUAUCGGAGACAAAUCAGCAUCUGGCAUAGCUCCAUGAGCUUCUACAGAGAAGUGGUAGAAAAUUGCCCCAGUAUCUUUAUCCUAUAUACCCAGUAGCCCAGUUUAUAGUGAAGCAAUGUUUAUCUAAGCUAGAAAGAGAGGCUACUAAAUUAAAGAUUUAUGACUUAUUACUCAGAAAAGUUGGCUGAGAAUUGUUAAUAAGAAAGUUCAGACAUUUGUAGGUGCAUUUGUAUUAAAAACUCCAGUCAUAAAAAGGAUGUGCCCACUAGUGUUCUAAUAAGUUGUGAAAAUUCAUAAGACAGUUGUUUGAUGACCUCAGGACAAACCUUUCUUUGAAGGAGAAUAAUUAAUCUGAGGUUAAAAGUUUAACUCAGCCUUAUUUUCCUUAAUUUUAUAUUUACGGCCCUGUCAAGGGAUUUACUUACCCCUCGGACUCCUCUUCCGAGGGAUUAGCUCCUUUCAUGUGCUGGACUUUUCUCUGGUGGUAUCUCUACCUAACACUACAACACAUAAUGCUCCCUCUUCAUUACUUAGCCCCCUAUUUACUCUUCCCAGGACAGGAAAGACUUUUAGAGCAAAUAAUCCCAUUCAGUUCUCAGCCAUUAUCCCUGUAUCUUCUGAAACCCCUUUUUAUGGGCAGCUUCUGGGCUUUAUAUAAGAAGCUGUUGUUCCUGUCCAGCUGAGACUCAUUUACUCAAUCCUUGCUCCCUGGCUUCUCCUCAGGGUGCAAUCUGGGGCAUUAAUUGGCUCAUCUAGCCACCUUAACCCCUCCAGCACUGAUAGGGGGUGUCACCUCAUCAUAAGCUCCUAAUAUUAGAGAUAACGGAUUUCAGAGGGCUCAAGUUCCCUCUAGUACUCAAUAGCUAACAGUAUUGUAGUGCUAUUAUAGCCACCUGGUAACAAAUAAUACAGUCUCCUAAUAUUUUUCCCUGUGAAAAGUUGUGUAGUUUGGUCCUGAAAUCCAAAUUAUUCAGUGGGGGAAAAGGAGCAGUUUAAACAACUCGUAAGAGUGUUUUCCAUAAAUGAAGAGGAUGGUGGAUUAGAGACUAGUGUAGGCAGAUGGAAGCCAUUUUGAAAGGUUUUUUUCUCCUUGAGACAAAUACAUCUUGCCAGGUAAGCUGGGAAAUGUAAUGCCAAUAAAAACAUGUGGUCUGCAUUUUGAAGACUAAGUCAUCCUUGUUACCCACCAGCUCUGUGAUUCUUGGGGAACCAGAACAUGGUCACCUGUCAGC